rnacentral:rRNA from 1 species
GACGAACGCUGGCGGCGUGCCUAAUACAUGCAAGUCGAGCGAAGCGGCGGAUGGGUGAGUAACGCGUGGGUAACCUGCCAAUAAGUCUGGGAUAUCAUUUGGAACCAGAUGCUGUUACCGGAUACUUAGGGUUGGAUCUGUGAUGCAUUAGCUAGUUGGUAAGGUAACGGCUUACCACGGCGAUGAUGCAUAGCCGACUUGAGAGAGUGAUCGGCCACAUUGGGACUGAGACACGGCCCAAACCCCUACGGGAGGCGGCAGUGGGGAAUCUUCCACAAUGGACGAAAGCCUGAUGGAGCAAGGCCGCGGGGGUGAAGAAGGUUUUCGGAUCGUAAAGCUCUGUUGUUGGUGAGGCGGUAAUCAACCAGAAAGUCACGGCUAACUACGUGCCAGCAGCCGCGGUAAUAC